rnacentral:rRNA from 1 species
AUGGAGCUUGUGGAUGCAACAUUGUUAUUCUUCUGCAAUGUUAUUUUACUGAAGAGUGUGCCCAGGACAAAUUUCAAAUGCAUAAGGAACCAUCUCCCUUCAAAUGGGUUAGACAAGGAGUUCCCGUCUCUCCUCUUCUAUUUCUGUUGGCAGCUGAUCUUUUUUACCAAACAAUUCUCAACGAUGAAAUGUAGUAAGGAACCAUCUCUCCUUCAAUCAGAUUUGCCACCUAACCUAAUUUCCCAAUUGUUCAACAUGCAGAUGUCAUUCUCAUUGUCAUGCAGGCAUGCUCUAUCCAACUUACUAAUUAAGAUCAAUAUAUUGAUUGAUAAAUUUUCUAUGGCUUCUGAACUAAAUGUUAAUUAUGAAAAAUCCAGUAUGAUUCCUAUUAAUGUACGUGAUAGUGAAGCACAUGUGCUUUCUGUUAUUUUAGGAUGUCAAAUUGUGUAA